rnacentral:lncRNA from 1 species
AACAUGACCUUGUUCGGCAGCGCCAUGCAGGGCGUCAACCGUGCAGGCAUGGCCAUAGGUGGUCCGCACCCAGUCGAUCAAGUCGACGCGUCCGGUGGCUGCGGCAGUGUCGAUCGACUCUGUGAUGCAGCCCGUGCCAUACCGGGUAUACAACCACUGGGCCACGUCGAGAUGGCCCGUAAAGAUGGCAGCGCCCAUUGCGGAUUGCGAUGGCACUAUGUCGGGCCGAUGCACGCGCAGCCAUUCGAGGGCGUCAAAGCAAUCCUGUGGGGCAUCACGACCGAGGUUCGCAAAGCAGCCACAGGAGACCGCAGUGUCGAUGGCAGAGUCGAGCACCGCAAGAUCUGGCUGGCGCUCACACAGAUAGUUUACCACGCUCAUGUGGCCGCUGUUGAGGGCCGUCGUGAGGACUCGGGGUGUCGGCCGCGCAUCGGGAUAGUUGUCGCACAACCACUCGACGACAUCCAAGUGGCCGUUUUGGGCCGCCGCCUGCGUGGUUGAUACGUCAAACUGCACGUCGGCCACGUGCGUUGCCAUCCACUGCAACACGUCGAGGCGACCGUGGGCUGCCGCGCUAUCGCCCAUCGAUGGCAAGUAGUUUGGCACCCGGCCGUUGGCGUGGAGCCAGCAGAGUACAUCCAUGUAGCCUCGUGACGCCGCAUCGCGAAAUAUGCGCACGGGGUCGAUGUGUUGUUGUGGCAGGUGACCAAAGACCCACUCGACGGCCUGCACGUUGCCGCUGCAGGACGUCGAUCCGGCUCUGACAGUGCACCCCUCGGUCCGGUGAUCGUGAAGCCAUUGAAGGACCUCAACGUGGCCGCUGGCAGCGGCCUUGUCCAUAGCCCGAUAAGUGCAGCCCUGAUCGCUAUUUUCGUGCAACCACUUGACAAUGUCGAGAUGACCUCCUCUGGCGGCAUAGUCCAUGGCAACGGGGUCUGCGCGGCCGUCUGCAUCCUCUGACGGAUAUCGACCACCGAUGGCCUCGUGCAGGUGGGCGACGACAUCCAAUCGACCGGCCUCGGCAGCGCGGUUCAUGGCAUGGGGCGAGUAGCGUGUGUGUGGCACGGCGUCACUCAGGAGCAGGUCGAUCAAUCCAAUGUGGCCGUGUGCGGCGGCCUCGCCCAGAUGACGACUCGUAAAGUGGUGGCCCGCGGCCGCGAGCGCCGCCACAGCCACCGUGUCGCCCUUGCGGCACAGGUCGAGGUCGUGCCGGCUCCACACUGCCAAUCGGCGCUGUUGUGUGAUCUCGCCGUCGGUGUGUACCAGGAACCAUGGAUGGGCCAGGCGGGCGGCGCAAAAAUCAAUGUUGUUCAGAUAGUCGAGGAUGCGCGCAGCGAUUUCACUUGGCAUCGCGGUGAGCAUCCUUUUUCGGCGUGCGUGCGUACGCGUGUGUCUACUUUUUUUGUUUGUUCUCUCUCCCUGUUUUUGUUUUUGUUUUUCUUUGUCUAAAAUGCCUUGCCGUUGUCGUCGGCGUGUUGGUCCAUUGAUCCAAUGGUUUUCGUUGGACUCGACAGAGAAGAAAAAAAUUGGCGGCCAACACGCGUCGGAUAAUCGGUCGGGUCUGGCCUGCACCAAAAAGAAAAGCAAAACCCUUGGCCGUCCGAUGGUCAUCAAAAAUACUCUUUUUCGUCUGGGCGGGCCAACCAGAUUUUUUUGUGUGGUUCUUGUCAUUUCCAAAAAAAAGACGCGCCCUUUUGCCGUCGCCUUGUUCCUUCCUCGCACAGGUUUCGG